GCUCAUCUAGUAAAUAAGACGUUUCCACAUCUUGAACAAGUGCUGAUAACUCUACUAAUGGUUCAUUCCAUUGGUGGGCA
rnacentral:tRNA from 1 species